rnacentral:rRNA from 1 species
UUUAUGGAGAGUUUGAUCCUGGCUCAGGAUGAACGCUGGCGGCGUGCCUAAUACAUGCAAGUCGAGCGAACGGACGAGAAGCUUGCUUCUCUGAUGUUAGCGGCGGACGGGUGAGUAACACGUGGAUAACCUACCUAUAAGACUGGGAUAACUUCGGGAAACCGGAGCUAAUACCGGAUAAUAUUUUGAACCGCAUGGUUCAAAAGUGAAAGACGGUCUUGCUGUCACUUAUAGAUGGAUCCGCGCUGCAUUAGCUAGUUGGUAAGGUAACUGCUUACCAAGGCAACGAUGCAUAGCCGACCUGAGAGGGUGAUCGGCCACACUGGAACUGAGACACGGUCCAGACUCCUACGGGAGGCAGCAGUAGGGAAUCUUCCGCAAUGGGCGAAAGCCUGACGGAGCAACGCCGCGUGAGUGAUGAAGGUCUUCGGAUCGUAAAACUCUGUUAUUAGGGAAGAACAUAUGUGUAAGUAACUGUGCACAUCUUGACGGUACCUAAUCAGAAAGCCACGGCUAACUACGUGCCAGCAGCCGCGGUAAUACGUAGGUGGCAAGCGUUAUCCGGAAUUAUUGGGCGUAAAGCGCGCGUAGGCGGUUUUUUAAGUCUGAUGUGAAAGCCCACGGCUCAACCGUGGAGGGUCAUUGGAAACUGGAAAACUUGAGUGCAGAAGAGGAAAGUGGAAUUCCAUGUGUAGCGGUGAAAUGCGCAGAGAUAUGGAGGAACACCAGUGGCGAAGGCGACUUUCUGGUCUGUAACUGACGCUGAUGUGCGAAAGCGUGGGGAUCAAACAGGAUUAGAUACCCUGGUAGUCCACGCCGUAAACGAUGAGUGCUAAGUGUUAGGGGGUUUCCGCCCCUUAGUGCUGCAGCUAACGCAUUAAGCACUCCGCCUGGGGAGUACGACCGCAAGGUUGAAACUCAAAGGAAUUGACGGGGACCCGCACAAGCGGUGGAGCAUGUGGUUUAAUUCGAAGCAACGCGAAGAACCUUACCAAAUCUUGACAUCCUUUGACAACUCUAGAGAUAGAGCUUUCCCCUUCGGGGGACAAAGUGACAGGUGGUGCAUGGUUGUCGUCAGCUCGUGUCGUGAGAUGUUGGGUUAAGUCCCGCAACGAGCGCAACCCUUAAGCUUAGUUGCCAUCAUUAAGUUGGGCACUCUAAGUUGACUGCCGGUGACAAACCGGAGGAAGGUGGGGAUGACGUCAAAUCAUCAUGCCCCUUAUGAUUUGGGCUACACACGUGCUACAAUGGACAAUACAAAGGGCAGCGAAACCGCGAGGUCAAGCAAAUCCCAUAAAGUUGUUCUCAGUUCGGAUUGUAGUCUGCAACUCGACUACAUGAAGCUGGAAUCGCUAGUAAUCGUAGAUCAGCAUGCUACGGUGAAUACGUUCCCGGGUCUUGUACACACCGCCCGUCACACCACGAGAGUUUGUAACACCCGAAGCCGGUGGAGUAACCUUUUAGGAGCUAGCCGUCGAAGGUGGGACAAAUGAUUGGGGUGAAGUCGUAACAAGGUAGCCGUAUCGGAAGGUGCGGCUGGAUCACCUCCUUU